UGUUCAGUAGUUCAGUUGGCAAAGCGCUUGGUUAGCGUAUAAGGGUCGUGAGUUCAAAUCUCACCUUAGCUG
rnacentral:tRNA from 1 species